GGGAUUGCCUUAGUAACGGCGAGUGAAGCGGCAACAGCUCAAAUUUGAAAGCUGGCUCCUUCGGAGUCCGCAUUGUAAUUUGUAGAGGAUGAUUCGGCGAGGGCUCCCGCCUAAGUCCACUGGAACGUGGCGUCAUAGAGGGUGAGAAUCCCGUAUGCGGUGGGUUGCCUUAGCCAUGUGAAUCUCCUUCGACGAGUCGAGUUGUUUGGGAAUGCAGCUCUAAAUGGGAGGUAAAUUUCUUCUAAAGCUAAAUACCGGCCAGAGACCGAUAGCGCACAAGUAGAGUGAUCGAAAGAUGAAAAGCACUUUGGAAAGAGAGUUAAAAAGUACGUGAAAUUGUUGAAAGGGAAGGGCUUGCAACCAGACUUGUCCGCAGUUGCUCAGCCGGUCUCCUGACCGGCGUACUCUUCUGCGGCCAGGCCAGCAUCAGUUCGGGCGGUCGGAUAAAGACCUAGGGAAUGUAGCUCCUCUCGGGGAGUGUUAUAGCCCUGGGUGGAAUGCGGCCAGCCUGGACUGAGGAUCUCGCUUCGGCAAGGAUGCUGGCGUAAUGGUUGUAAGCCGCCCGUCUUGAAACACGGACCAAGGAGUCUAACAUCUAUGCGAGUGUUUGGGUGUCAAACCCAUACGCGUAAUGAAAGUGAACGGAGGUGGGAACCCGCAAGGGCGCACCAUCGGCCGAUCCUGAUGUCUUCGGAUGGAUUUGAGCAAGAGCAUAGCUGUUGGGACCCGAAAGAUGGUGAACUAUGCCUGAAUAGGGUGAAGCCAGAGGAAACUCUGGUGGAGGCUCGCAGCGGUUCUGACGUGCAAAUCGAUCGUCAAAUUUGGGUAUAGGGGCGAAA
rnacentral:rRNA from 1 species